GGGAGGGGCUGGCGCUUGGCGCUGCAUGAGGCCCUCCGACGGGGCAAGCCCCCUCCCCCGGUCCCUCCCAAGGCUCUCCCUUACCCUCCGGGGUUUUCCUACAUUUGGGGCGAGGAAAAGUAGGGAUGCGGAAUACAGCUGCCAGCUGGUGUAGGCGAAGGUUUUGGUCAUAUGCGAGGAUACCCCCCUUAACACCCCGCCCCCCCAUCCACCUACGCGCGCGUGCUCUCCCGGCGCUGAUGAUGUCCUGCCCGCUCCGCUGCUUUGGCUCGGCUCGUGACUCUGCUUCGUGCUGGCAAAAUUCCGCAGCGUGCACUUGGGGGCGGGGGUGGGAAGUUGGCUCUCAGCCUUGCCCCUUGAGCUUGCCACCCUCGGGCCUGCCCAACUGCCAGGCACCCCACUUACCUCCCCUCACCCCCCCUCCAAUAACUGUGGCUUCCCACGCCAGGUCAUUGCCAGGCCCAGCCCCCGUGUCACCGUCCACCCUAUGGGACACUCUUGUGUCUCCAUCCUGCACCUGGUUGCCCUCGAUGGCAUUGAAAUCUCCCAUCUUUUCCUGUGGGCCCCACAGCCCCACCUCCGGAGUCCAUAUGGGUGCGGGCAGCAGAGGGGGAGUAGGGUGGCACACAGACUGUUCACACGGCCCCUUUGGUGUACACCCUCUUGGAACAGGGCAGUGGAAAAACAAACAGGAACUCCGCAGGAGGAGAUGAUCCUAAACACCAGCUGAUUUCCACUCUUUGUUGAUCACCCAAGCACGUGUCCCCCCCCCCGCCCCCCUCCAGCCCCGGAAGUAAAUAUUGUGGUUUGGUUCCAUUCAGCACCCCAGAAGACGCAUUCGCUGCCCCUGCUAACUGGGCAGCAAGGCCUAGCCCGGAUUUCUCUCCUCUGGGUUGCAGUGCCUCUGACGCAGGGUCUGAGAGGUCUCCUGCGGUUUUGCUGCAUGCUCUCUUCAUUCUGGAACCAAAGUAUUAAAAGAGGGACCUGUUGGACUUCCGCAGUGGCGCAGUGGAUAAGAAUUCGCCUGCCAAUGCAGGGGACACAGGUUCAAUCCCUGAUCCUGGAAGAUCCCACAUGCCGGGGAGCAACUAAGCCCAUGAGCCACAACUACUGAAGCCUGUGUGCCUAGAGCCCGUGCUCCACAGCAAGAGAAGCCACCACAAUGAGAAGCCGGCGCACCACACGAAGAGUAGCCCCCGCUAGCCACAACCAGAGAAAGUCCACGCACAGCAACGAAGGCCCAAGGCAGCCAAAAAUAAAUAAAAUUUUGUUUAAAAAAGAGGGACCUGUUGACCAAGAUGCCUAGGUGGCAAACACACCGUCAGAUGCUGCUAAAGCAAGAAUAAAUGCGUGUUAUUGAUUUCCAGAAUGAUUAGGCUCUGCUUUCUCCUUGGCGGGCUCCUUUCUCAGGCUCCUUCAGUCUGGUUGUAAGAUGGCUCCAGAACUUCCAAUCUUGCACCUACCUGGAUUCAAGUCCAUUGGGAAAGAAUGUCUGUGCUUCUCCCAGCAUUCCUGGCACAGGUCUCUCCUGAACCAAUCGUGGUUUGGGGAUUGUGAUGCUCCAUUGAUAAAGGCCAAAGGCGCAUAUAUUUUGGGUGAGUUUCACCCCCACUCAAAGCACAGGACUGAGAGAUGGAGAGGAAUGGUUCUCAGGAGGCAUCCAAAGGUGGUGAUGAGAGGAAAGGUGAAUGGCAGCUUUGCGGGAUGGUUGGCUCAUUUCUGCUUCGGGCUGCAGAUUGACUAAGCUUGGCCCCAGGAUGUGGACUGGGUUCAGGUUUAGUCUAUUUCCUCUCAUCUUCCUGGGAACAGGAGCCACCUCGGCCUUCAGUCUGCCUCUAGAUUUUCCUGCACCAACUAUCUGUGAUUCACUUCACCUCUUUUUGAGGCUGUGAGGGCUGAUCCAAGAGCUAUGGUGGCUGAGUGUCAACAACAGAGUUGGAAGAUCUGGCAACACUGAAUCGACAGUCCGGCAUGUCAGUAACGCAGCUGAGCUGUGGCUACUUCCUUAAGAUAAAGCCUAUUGUACAUAUAGCUUGAGCGAAGGGAAUCUAUUUGAGGACUGAACAGCAACACUGGCCUCACUGCAAAAUGAGUCUAAUUGCUGUGUCAACAGCGAGAUGCCAUUGUCCUCUUCCUCCGGACUUCCAUGAAAAACUGACCCAGCUAAUGUGACCGUGCGGGGAUGACUGACAGUGCGGCAGAGGAAGACUUUCACCAUCUUCCUUUCCCAAGUGCCAGUACAUCAGAAGGACCCCUUCGGUAAAUGUAAAAACCAAGGGUGGCCUUACCUUCCUUAUAACUGGACAGGGCAUUGCUGCCAUUGACUCCAUCUCCAUUGACCUGGAUGUGCCCUUGAAGACUCCCAAAUGCCUGGAGUCUCUGACUCUCCUUGGACCAGAGGCAUAAGCAUUGUACGGAACACUCA